CGGAAAAUGCAAAUUUAGGUCUUUAACCACUAAAUUAACCACUUAGUUAGUCCUUGUUGCCCAGAUAAGUUCCCUCCCCUUAAAAUGAACACAUAGUAUAUGAAUUCUGUGUCUAGUCGGUGCGGGCUCCUCCGUAAAUGAAGACUGAGACAAGGGUGUAGGUUUUAAAUCUCAGUGAUUCCUUCUGAUUUAACACGGAUCAGUUCAUGCAUUGAACACGGAGCCCUUUGGGAGCAAUAAAAACUACGCCAUGAAUGUUCGGGCUUUCUUUUUUUUUUCCCCUUGCAGAAUAGUGCUUUUCUUUAUUCUUUUCCUUUACACCCCACUACUGAGCUGCAUGUGUCGCUGAUGUUGUCGUGUCAAGUUCAGGAUGAGUAUUUGGACAGGCUGGGCGAGUCAGUGUUGCCAGUGUGCAUUCUAGUCCUGGAGUCUAGGAUGCCCUCCUCAUGUAGCCCUGGGUCUGACAAGGGAGAGGAGAUGUUUGCUGACCCUCUGCUGGGGAAGGUAUUUGCUGAUCUUUGCUGCUGGGGGAGAUGUUUGCUGACCCUCUGUUGGGGGAGGUGUUUGCUGAUCUUUGCUGCUGGGGGAGGUAUUUGCUGAUCUUUGCUGCUGGGGGAGGUGUUUGCUGACCCUCUGUAGGGGGGAGGUGUUUGCUGACCCUCUGCUGGGGGAGGUGUUUGCUGACCCUCUACGGGGUGGGGGGCGGUGUUUGCUGAUCUUUGCUGCUGGGGGACGUGUUUGCUGACCCUCUGCUGGGGAGGUGUUUGCUGACCCUCUGCUGGGGAGGUGUUUGCUGACCCUCUGCUGGGGGAGGUGUUUGCUGACCCUCUGUUGGGGGAGGUGUUUGCUGACCCUCUGCUGGGGGAGGUGUUUGCUGACCCUCUGCUGGGGAGGUGUUUGCUGACCCUCUGCUGGGGAGGUGUUUGCUGACCCUCUGCUGGGGGAGGUGUUUGCUGACCCUCUGCUGGGGAGGUGUUUGCUGACCCUCUGCUGGGGGAGGUGUUUGCUGACCCUCUGCUGGGGGAGGUGUUUGCUGACCCUCUGCUGGGGGAGGUGUUUGCUGACCCUCUGUUGGGGGAGGUGUUUGCUGACCCUCUGCUGGGGGAGGUGUUUGCUGACCCUCUGCUGGGGAGGUGUUUGCUGACCCUCUGCUGGGGAGGUGUUUGCUGACCCUCUGCUGGGGGAGGUGUUUGCUGACCCUCUGCUGGGGGAGGUGUUUGCUGACCCUCUGCGGGGGGGGGUGGGAGAGGUGUUUGCUGACUAUCGUUGCUGGGCAGGCUCUGGUACUUGCAGUCUGACUCCAGAGCCAGCCCCCGCUCCUGCUGGGAUGCACAGAGAGAAGGUCCCUUUCCAUGAGUGAUGGACAGGCUGAGUUCCGAGCCUGGGGGACCAAUGGUCGCAUGUUUCUCAUCAGGCCCAGGCUCCACUGUCAGGCCCCAGGUUCUGUGUCCUUUGUCACCUUUUAUGCUUGUGUUCCCCCUGCCCAGUGAGUGGAGUUUGGCUUGUGGGCCCUCCCUGUGUAUCUGGCUGGGGAAAGGGCCACAGAUUUGGGGCCCCCUCUGGGGAGUUCCAGGGGCUUCAGAGGUGCCUGUGGUCGUCCAUGGUGAUUCUGUAGCAGCUGCCGGCACCUGGAGACUCUGUUUCCCUCUCUAGGGUCUUUCAGGUACCACUGUGAGCAGUGAAUGGGCCUACUGUGUGCAAGUGAGCAGACGCUGGGGAGAGCCUGGGCUAGUCCGAGGGGACACGUGUCAAAAACCCGUGAACACUGUCUUUAUGCCCUCUUUUUCUACACAUUGGAGCCUAGUGGAGGGUUUGAAAUGGCUGCCCACUGACAAAGUUUGAACACAGAGAAAGCAGUGGCCCUGGUCACUGGUGCGUGGUGACAGACACUAGAUGCACAGCCCUGUUGGAGGUGCUCUGUCAUCCCCGCCCUCAAGAAGCACAGAGUCUCGUUAAGAGAUGAGCUGAGUGUGCACACCACUAAGUGACAUAAAGCGACAAUGUCAGUAGCACCUUGUGAAAUGGACGCAGGUGUGAUCCUCCGCUCUGAAUCGUCUCGUCCGUGCCUGUCGCGCCCUCCGUGCACCGUGCAGGAGGACUUCCCUUACCCCCGUUGGGUUAUUGAGCGUGAAGCCGAUCUGCAGAGAAGCGUGCGCCCAGUCACAUGCGGCCAUGCCCACGCCCAUGUGACGACUGAUUUGGGUCAGAUUUGGGGCGAAGAAUAAGGAACUCUCUGCAUGUUGCUUUGUGUCCACCCGAGAUGCCCAUAGGACAAGCCAAAUAGAAUCUUUUCAGCCCAGCUGACUUCUUGCAGCUGAAUUAUUCAUCCCUGUGAGUGACCCCUGCUGCGACUUUCUCACCAGUAGUGCAUGCUUCCCCCGGCAUGCAACACUCAGCGUUCAGUGGUGUGACGCGGCUUCUACUCUGCCCGCCUGCCAUGUAACCAGGCUUAAGGUCGAAACAGUGGGCCAUCAUGUCCGCCUGCCUUCUCUCUGGAAACAGCACACCCUCGGCCCACCUGCCUGCCCCUUUGUCUAGUGAGUUAGCUCCUAAAGCCACGGCCAGCCUCUCCAAACACGUGGGCUUGGGCCGGGUGCCACCCACUCGGACCGGCCACGCUUUGUCCCAAACCCUGCAUGGGGCUGCCAGGGUGCAUGCGGACAUUCGGGUUUCACAUUCUUGCAUAUCAGGGCCAGGGUGCAGAAACACAGGGGCAGUUUUGGGGUAGAAGAUGUCACACUGUGUUCUGCCUGAUUGAGGGGGUGGACACAUGUGAAUUAAGUUUUAGCACAAGCAUUUGCCGCUAGCUGAUUCAGUGAAAAUGGUGGCAUUCUUCCAAACCACUCGGGAAAUAAAA